rnacentral:lncRNA from 1 species
GCCUUCCUGGAGAAAAGGAAGACGUUCACCACUUUGCAGAGCUGAGAAGGGGCGCUUCUGUGCUCCCCAAAGCAGCGAACGCCUUUCUUCUCACCUCUUCCUCGAGGACAGGUCUCCAGGCUGCCUGGCCAUGUUCCAGAAGCAGUCUCUCCUUACGUUGCACCCACAUCUAUGGCAGGCAAUCUCAAAGGUUCUGAGUUCUGUUGGAUGCUAGGUAAGUGGGGUUUAUAUAUCUGUGGAAAGUCCAGGGUGGGAGAAAUAGGUCUUGUCUGUUUGAGUCUAGUGUGAAUGUUGCAAUUGGCCAGCUUGAUUAGCCUUGCAGAUUCAAAGCCUGGCUGCUUCCUCCCUGUGGGCAUCCUUGGUUGGGAGUUGUUAGCUGGUUGUUUCUGAUUGUUUCCAGUCUGGAUUUCCCCAGUUUUCAUAGUGUUGUUUUUUAUUUAGGCUUUUCCUUAAUCCCUCCUUAUUAUCCAAAUUUUUUGCUUAUCUAAGACUUUUAUUUUUCAGUGAUUGGUUUGGUGGCGGGCAAAAUUCUGUUUGCCUAUACUUGAAAAUUACUUUGGGCCGGCCCCACUUAGUCCACACUGCCAUAUAUCUCAGUUCAGAGCACAACAUGUGGGAUUUUAUUCAGCUAUAUGGAAGGGACCUUAGCCCAGUCUAUUUCUGUUUACAGAAUGCAGAUGGAGUGACAUCUCCUUCACGUCAGGCAACAAACUGACUGGGCCCAGACUUCCUGCAUUCACAACAUUGAGUUUCAUUAUUUGUCUUUGUCUCAGUUUAAGUGGGUGGUGUGUUGCAAUGCCUUCAGCUGGGCUUUGGUUCUUUUACUGCAGGAAAGUGUCAACAGCUGUUUCCUACCUACUGCUUUCAAAACCCAUUCAUGAAUUUUAUGUACUUCUAUCUGAGGCUCAAUUAGUCUCUUCCUCUGUAAUUACAUGCAUUGUUGAAACUGCCAAGCUUUCUUUGGCAUGCUUACAUGGCAACUGUCUACUUCAUCAGACACUUUUGGUGUUUUUUCUCUCAUUUCCACAGGUUUUGCUGCAUAAGCAAUCCCUCACAAGUAACAGUAAAUUUAAGAGAUUCUAUUACAUGUGAAUUCUUUUUUUACCAUCAAUAAAAAAACAACUUCUUAUGCCACACAGUUAAUGAGAUGGAAAAGAUUGUGAGUAAAUUCUUUACUAUUUCAUCAUGAUUUGCCAGGAAUAAUUGUGUUCGU